rnacentral:tRNA from 1 species
GGAGGUAGAGCUCAGAUGGUAGAGUACUUGCCUUGCAUGCAUAAGGCCCUGGGAUCAAUCCCAGUACCACAA